ACACGGGUAUUAAGAAGGACAAGGAAACAGGUGAGAAUUAAUUUUAAUAAUGUAUUUUAUUUUACCCAAUAUAUCCAAAAUGUUAUCAUUUCCACAUAUAAGUAAUACAAAGAUUAUAAUUUUACAUAUUCCUUUUCCUAUUAAAUCUUCAAGAUCCACUGGUUAUUUAAUACUUAAGAGUAUGUGUUUUAUGUGGUUAAUAGCUACCAUUUUGGACAGCUUAGAUUUAGACCAUUCAUAGGUUUUGAGUUAGUUCUUCCAUAUUUAGGAAUCACAAAGAAUGAUCCAACUCUUUUUGGAUCUGGAUAAGUUCUCCUCAGGUCAUGUGUAUAUAAAAUUCCCACUAUGGGAGCUUCUGUCAUGGCUCAGUGGUUAACAAACUCGACUAGUAACCAUGAGCAAGGCCAGGGAUUGAACCCACAACCUCGUGGUUCCUAGUUGGAUUCAUUUUCGCUGCACCACAACAGGAAUUCCUGUUUUAAACUGUUUUAAAUGUAGAGAUGAUGAAUGAAUACAUGCUCAUUGAAGCAAGAAAGUAAAUACAAAUCCAUUGCUACACAUGAGGCUGCAGAGCUUCAGGGAGGCUUAGCAAUUGGGUAUGAGGCAGAGAUUGGAUUUGAAACUAAGCUUUACUUCCUUAUCACAAGAGUCUCUUGAAUGACUUCGCUAAGCUCUGGAUAGUUUAAUGUGGAGUGGAAGAGGGGUGAAGAAUGACAGCUACUUUCGUCAAGUGAGGACUCUGUGAAGCAGGGCAGAGGGCUGUGAAGGAAUGGGAACACCAUGCUUCAGGCUUCCUAUUCCUGGCUUCCUUGUGCAUAUGUACCAGUAAUAAACCUUGCUUGUUUUGUUGAUCCAAGGAGAUAAUAGAAAGGACCUUUUAUGCUGUAUGGUGGUAUGUGUUCAUAAUGCUAAUAGUUAUGUGGAGUGUUUGCCAUUCAUAAGAGUGAAAAGUGAAAGUGGAGGCUUUGGACAACUGUUGGGUAGUGUGUAAUAGACAUCUCAGGCAGAGAGAAAAAAUCCCAGAAAACUGAGAAGGAAUCAAAGGUACACCUCCCAUACAUACCUGUGUUGCCCUGGUCCGGAUCAUUUAUCUUUCAGUUUGUUCACCAGAUUUUCACUGAUCACUUUUCCAGUCAAAUACUAGGUUGGCACUGGUAGUCCCAGGCAGCUUUGUGUCCCUAGGAAGGUUGUCUGGGAAUCAGCGUCUGGACCCUGCAAAGCAGGUCCUGUAAAAUCUAAAUCACUGGCCCCACCACAAAAAUGAAUACGUGCAAAUUAUUCACACUGAGAAAAUCCAGUCAGCUCUGAGAAAGGAACAGGUGAUCCCUUUUAAAACAAAACAAUACAAUGCAGAAUAUGUAAACAGAACUUCCAGAAGGGUACAAUGGGGGAGUAAUUAUUUAUCUUUGCUUCACUUAAAAGAUUUCAACAAAGAGUUUCUUUGAAUAUGGAACUGUCUCUUAAUGCUCUUAAACAUAUGUUCAUAGAUGACGAAAUACUUGGUCGAGGGCCAGAUGGAACCAGCCCACAAUGUGGUGUUAGGAUGCGGUGCUAAAAGGUCAUUCAUCAGCUAAGAGUAUAAAGAUUUCUGGGAAGACAGUUUAAGCCAGUGGAGUCUGUGGUGUGGUGAUGUGCAAAAAGAACACUUCUGUCAAGUUUCGCUUAUUUGUUCUUCAUUGAAAAUAAGUUAUUUUUGAAUUGGGUAUCUGUAGAUGUGAGGGUGCAUUUAUGUCAAGCUGGAAGAAUUUUGAAAACGUUGUAAUGUACUUAAUUAUAGUUCUUCUUCUUUUAAAUAUACAACCUCUCUACAGAAUUCUUAAUGGAUUUAAUAACCUCUUACACAUUGCAACAGAUAUUUUUGACCCUUGGAAUUUGAAUUAGUCCCUCUGGUACUCUCUCCUGUGUCACUCCUUCAUUUUUGAAGAAAUAGAUCAGAUCUCAAAAUGCUGUCCCUGGAUUGGGAGAAUCCACGUGAUUUACUAGAAAGAGAUUCAAAUUGAAAGUAGGAAAAUCUUGGGUCUCAACCAGAAUUUGCCACUAUUUGGCUGUUUUUUGAAAAAAUUACUUAUUUAUUAAUUUUUUUUUUUAAGGGCCUUAU
ensembl:lncRNA